UGUGAGUGACUUAGGUUUAAAUUUUAAGUUCCCACUACCUCUCACACACAAGCUGGUACUGGAAAAAGGAAAACAACCGAGGCAAGAAAGUUUUCAAGGUGAGCUAUAAAGGUAAACACAAAAACACAAAACCCUGCCCUGGACUCCAAAGGGUUAAUGAAUUGAAUUGUACUGCUUGACUGAAAUGUGGAGAUAGUAAAGGUAAUUGCAUCUAUUUGAAGUUAUGGUGGUAAUGAAUUGAGGCAUUUUGGAUUCUUUUGCAAGCGCUAUUUGAGGUUAUACAGGGAACAACACAUAGGGAACAGUUAAAUCAGGAAACAACUCAACUCAUACAGUAAGAAAAGUAACAUUGGUUACUAGAAAACAGGCACACAAGUGAAACGACACUUUUCCAGCCUGGGAGGUGCUCAAACCCACCACACAUUCAAAGAUGGCAAAAAAUCCUACUUUUCUGAGGGGUCGAUUUUCGCCCGUUUUUUCAGUGCCAGCACUGUCGCGAAAUCGCAUUUUUUCAAGUUGCUGAAACCACACUUUUCCAGCCCGGGAGAUGGGCCAAACCCCCCAGACAUUCAUCGGUGGUCCCAGCAGGACCCAAAGAUGGCAAAAAAAAAGACAUUUUUCCUGAAAAUGGGAACACUUCUUUCCGAUGAAUCGCAAAGGUACUAUUUAAAUAUUCCACCAAACUUCAAGGCCAGUUUUAUCAAACACAAUUAAUAUUGCUUGCUUACACUUCUGUUGUCUAUGUGAACCUAUCCACGUGCUCCAAUGAGGAUGACCAUUUCAGGCCAUAACAAUGACCUGUGAGCCUUGAAAUCCAUUCCCAGUCUUCGCUGAUACUGAGUGGACUUGUGUUGCACCUACCUAAAAAGACCCAGGCGUGUGUGAGAUGUUUCAAGAAGUGGCAUUACAAUGCACACCGCCACCUACUGUCCGGAGAGGGCGCUGCUCGGCUGAAGUAUAUAAACAAGGUGUUGACCCGUCAGGCAUACAAGUUCUGACAGCAUGAGAGUGGAGUUAUGUGUGCAGUAUAUACAUUUUGUUGCCGUGCUACUGUUACUAUGUGGAGCUUUGGGACUUUGUGCACAUCUUGAUGGAGACGAAUAAAUGGGUGA